GGCACAUCUUAUAGCUGCCUGCAAGCCAAUUUAGAGUCUCUAUAGCUCAUACUGGGAGGUCUCAGAAAGGAAUCCCACCCCUGUGUUUGAGUGAGUGGGGUUCCUCAGAAGUGAGUGAAAAUUAUUUGUGGGACUUGAUAGGGGUGCUUGUUAGGGGAGUUGGGAGUGAACUUGAGGUCGGAAAGCCAGUUGAGUGUUAUAGUGUCCGUAAUUUCAUCAUAGGCAGUAUGCUCUCCUGAGUGUAUUCCAGGCCGCACUCCCCUAGGUACAGCCACUUGUUCUGAGUGUGAAUUCACACACACCCUAGGGUAGAGAGCCGGCAUUCUAAUUAGGAAGCAGGUGUUCCAGAGACAGCUCUCAUGAGAGCCUCUGUGAUCUCUCACUAUGAUCAAUAGCAGAAGGUUUGCUAAUUGGCAUAGGUCAUGUUAGGAAUAGGCUUCUGUUGACAAAAUCAGUGGCUUUUAAAAUGAUGCAAUGGAUGCUACAAAUGGGGUUUCCUUAGUGAGCUUGCUAGUGGUCAAUUUGUGUGGAUUGUCUAAAGUAUUUUAGGGUAGCUCACUGUUCUUGCUUGAAAAGAUCGUGAUAAUCUAGCCAGUCCUGAAGCUUUCAGUAACGCAGCCCCGCGUCCAGAUUUGGAUUUGGAAAAUUUUAACUGCCUGAUGCCUAUUAUAAGAUGAUUGAAUUCUACCCUGAAAAUAUUUAUUAUAUUUACCUGAAAUGAUGGCGUGAGGUCAAGAUCUAUAGCAGUCAUGUUUUAAUUCUGAAGGGACGAACUCAAGGACAGCAGAACAGUGCUCCCUAACAAGUCAUGACAAACUUUAAUAGCUUAAAAAAUAAUAAUCAUUUAUUAUUGCCCUUAGUUUGUAUGAGUCAGGAAUUUGAAAGCAGGUCUAGUUUAAAGGUUUCUCCCGAGAUUGCAACCACAUGUUGCCAGAGUUGUCACUAUUUGAAGGCUUGACCGGGCCUGGUUGGUGCUACCUAUUGGGGGAAGCCUUGACUUCUUACCAUGUCAGCUUCUCCUUAGGUCCUGGGCUUCCUCAAAUAUAGUGGCUGAAUUCCAAAGGCAAGCAUCCUGAGAGAGAAAGCCAAUGUAGCCCUGAUACACCUAGGCAAGGAGACCGCUUCCUUCCAUGAAGAUGUCAUGAACUUCCUGUGAAAGAAAACAGACUGUUUGGUUUUGCAGGAGGGAAAUCUCUUGACCUUUUUGUUUUAAGAAGAAAAUGAAAUAAUAAGUUAAAUUUUUAAGAAGAAAAUGAAAAAUAAUUGAACAGAAACACGAACCUCAAUGUCCUUUAUAAAUGCCUUUAUAAUUUUCCAUGGAAUAUUUUUUUGUUUAGUUAGGAAAAGCAAAUUAGCCAUGUUUUCUGGCAGCCUUAAACUCUUUAGUUUCUAGUUCCUAAAGGAGUUAUAUAGCUCACUGAAGAGUCAUCUGGCUGUCCCAUCAAAUACCCAUUGUCUGCUUGGAACUAGGGAGUCCCUUUGGGGAGGGUGAGGUGUAAAGACUUAUGGACAUCCCCCUAGAGAAUGACUGUCCAUCCAGGUUCUGCAGACUGCUGCAUGUGGAGUCCAAGAUAAACUGAGGCCAUCCAGGAGAGAAACAGCUCCCUCCCGUCUAGCCAUGAGGCUGAUCAGCUUUCUUCUGCUGCUUCUCUUUUCCUGAAAUAUUAAGUCUUCCUGCUAAGAGAAUAUCCCAGCUUGUGUAGUUACAAGAAGCAGGCAGAAAGUCCCUCAGUUUAUUUUGCCUGGAGAUUCAUCUUGAACUCUCAAGGGAGCAUUUAAUGUCACGAGGAAGCAACGUCUUCCAAAUACACACAGCCUCAUAUUCUGGAGGCCAGACUACCAUUAACCUCAGCCUCCGCAGACACAAACGUUUUUAGAAAAGGUCUUUGAGGAAAAAGGCGAUCACAAAUCCCACACACUUUUCUCAGGCUGGAAGACCGGGCAAAUUAAGGAAGGAGUCCUGUGGUGUAUGGAUACUGCCUACAAUACUAGUUUUGAAGAAGCACUAAAAUCCCACUGGAAUUAACUAGCACUGUAAUGUCAAUUAACUCAGGUUUCUGCUUACAACUGUUCCUGUGGAAGUAAGCAGUUUCUUGCUGCAAACUUCACCAUUGUUUUUUCUUCUCAUUGAAACCUUCCUUUUCUGUGAUACCUGUGGGUGUGUAUUGGGGUACUACUGCAGCCAAAGCUUCGUCCCUGAGAAUGCACCUACAUCACAAGACCAGAGUCACAUUUUAGCCAAGUGACAUAUGAAACAAAUAAUGCAUGGGAAAGAAAGAUCUCUUUUAGGUUUUUUAAUGAUCUAAAUGAUAAGUUCUUCAACAUGCCCCACAAUACAACUCUAAAGUAGGGAAUUAUCCACAAUAAGUCCACAUAGCCAUCUUCUUGUUUUAAAUAUAAAGAACUUAAUUUUUAUUCAUGGAAAUUUCUUCCUCACUAAUACUGAACAAAAUGCCUUAAAGGGAGGCUUAAUGGCAGAAAGCCCCAGUGUGUCUCCUGUCCCUGCAGAGAAAGGCCCAUACUUAUUGGUUUGACUUUCUUGGCUAAUGGAUUAUUUCCCCAGCCUCAGGAGCUAGGAAUAGACAUUGGGAGAGGAACACGGCCCUACAAAAGCCAAGCAUUUUGGCAGAGCAUUCUCUAGUUUUCAAGGUAGGUGACUAAUUAUUCCUGUUUUUCCUGUAUUGAGCACUUUCACAGUGCUAGGGGCAAAAAAGUCCUGGGACCGAUUGGUCACUGUAUCUCAAGCCAACUUGUACCCAGGGAGGAAGCAUAGUACAGGAUUUGCAGUGUAGGAUCUGAAGCUCAAGGACUCAGGUUAGGGCUUAAUCUCUUCUAUUUAACUUGCAGUACAACAUUGGGCAAGUUACUUAACCUCUCUGCUCUUUGAUUAUCUCAUCCAAAAUCUGCAAAAGAUAACAUCUACCUCUGAGGGAUAUUGUGAGGCAAAAAUGAAAGAAUGUAUCUAGAAGGCAUCUGGGUGUGCUCGGUGUAUAGAAAGUGCUGGUCAGGCUUAGCUAUUAUUAGAGUUGUAAUCAUGAUUAUUCGAAACAUAAUGUCUUCUUGCCUCUUCAGUAGAGGGUGGGCAAUCCUGUAGGAAAAACAGCAAUCACUGUACCUGAGAUCAGCACAGAGCUAUUAAGAAGAGGUCAGAUAGUAUCUUUGACAGCUCAAGAAAGUGGGGAAAUGUGCAAUUAUGUUAUUCCUCUUUGAAACUGUUUUAUCAAAAAAUGAUUUUACUUCUAAAAACCCUAGAGGGGCAAAUCUGCAGAAGCAUGGUGAGUAGAAUUCUUGGAUAAGGCAGAUAGGCCUCUGCAUACAUGCAACAAAGCUCCACAGGCCUUUCAGGUCCCCUCACUGGGCACCAGGAGAGGGACACUAGGGAGCCUGUGGUUCAGCAGCCACCCUCCCCUCCAGGCACCGAAUGGGCCUGCAGACCUUUGGUGUGUGCUGUAGAAAACCUCCUCUAGGCACAUGUGUUUUUGAUCAAUGUCACCGGAGCCUGCUUUUGAAGCUCUUAUUUCCUGUCAUUUGGCCUGCAAAUUUUUGCUGAGUCAUUUGACCUCAUGCAUCUUCUGAAACAGCAUCACAUGACCAGAGGAAGCUGUUGUGAGCCUACAGCUUGGCUGUAGGUCACAUAUUAGAAUUCACAAGUUAAUUAAUGAGUUCACAGGCACCUUGUCUUGAGUUAGACACCCGAAGCCUUAGCGGGAAGUGUAGGACCUGGCUUUGUUCUCCAAAAGCUUGUUUUCUAGUGAGGGGAAGAGACCUAAAUCGAAAGAUUCCACUGGGAACUUUAAGAAGUUCUGUAAAGUAUAAAAAGAAAUGCGUACCAUGUGACCAGGUAGCCCAGAGUGACAUAUCCUUACCCAGGAGGAUCACAAAGGAAGGCCCAUCAAGCUAAGUUUUGGAAGUAAAGGGGAAUAGAUGAUAGGAUUUGGGCAAGCUGAGAAAAGGGAAGGAAAGUUGUGUAGAGGGCAUGUGGAAACAAGACAAUAUGUGCAAGUUCAUGGUGUUACGUCUAGUAAUCAGCAAGCUCCAUGGGAUCACAGGAAACACAAAAGUGUUGUAGUGGGAGAUGGAUUGGACCAGAUGAUGGAGGAGGUGAAUGAAUGCAAACCUAGGGUUGAGACUUUAUUUCAUUUGGAAGAAGGAAGGCUUUACAACCAGGGGGUGGUAUGGACCUCAGGAAAAGGCCAUGGUGAAGGAGCGGGCCAUCCUCAGCAGUUAUUUGUGGGAUGCAGGAAGACAGGAGAGAGGGGAGGUGAGAGCUGGUGAGCACAGGGAAUGAGAGGGAAGCAGGAGAGGAGACUAAGGGAACAUUUGGGAGGUAGAAAGAGAAGACUGAUUUACAUCCACUUUAAUGUAGCAAUUGAGCGAGGUGGGGGCGGUGUGCAGCCAGGAAUGGAAAAGCAAACUGGAUCCCACUCUGGAUAGAGCAGGAACUAUGACACAGUGAGGAAAUGGGUCGUCCAGCCUAGAACAACAGAAGGCUGAAGAGCACCUUACUGAUAGGUACGAGAAAGAGACCAGUAAUAACUGUUCUCUGAUCGCCCGAGAAAAAGGCUGAAGAAUUGAGAUGAGAUAUAUGAGAGAUUUUCCAGAUGGGGAGACGUGAAGACAAUUUCCUUGAAGACAAUUUCAGGAUAGUUUUGUUUCCCAGCUUCGCUCUCGGCAUCCCUGUCUGGAGAUAGGAAAAGAGCUCCUUCCCUCUGCCUUGCUAGAAACCCAGCCCAACCGUCACUGGUCAGUGGUUUCCUCUUUCAUCACAAAAGACAACUCAUUGUUACUUUGAGGAAAAGCAAAGGCAGUUGCUGUGUAUUUGCCAUUGGAAGGGGUUGUACUAAAUUUCCUUCAGAAUUCAAAGUAAAAAUACUGAAAAUAACAGGAAUGAGUGGGCUCAUGGCUGUGUAACCAUCAAAAUCAAUUUUCUUGGGGGUGGCUUGGAACGGAAUGCACUUCAAAACAGCUUUGGUGGAAAAAGAGAAGCAUAGUUACUGGUGACUUGAGGGUGGGGGCACAUUCUGAGAAAUGCAUUGGUGAGGAUUUUAUCAUUGUCCGCCCAUCAUGAAGUGUACUUAACACAAACUAAGGUGGCUGUGGGCAAUAUGAUUUUAUGGUACUGCUGUUACAUAGGCAGCCUGCCAUUGAUCAUAAUGUUCUGUGCAGCGUGACUGUAGUAGAAGGCUACAGAGACAUCUCAGGUCACCAAACACAGUGACUGAGUCUCACCUGAGACCUGAGGGAGGCAUUUGUUCCUGGCUUCUGCCUGUCUUAGAAUUGGCUAGCUUUUCUCCCAGGAGGCUGUCACAGCACCUCUUUGCUGCCUGACAAUGCUCUAAUGGCCUAUGCACAGAUGACAGAGAGCCACAUCAUGUCUUGCUCUCCCAAUUCUAAAUUCCUGAGGAGGCGACUCUGGCCAGGCUCAGUGAACACAAUCAUAGAGCUCAAGCACAGGUGGCGAGAAUAAGGCAGUUCUCAACUGGGGAGGUGGGGGCUGGGUGAUCACCUCUUAGAGCCAUUUUAAAAAUCAUGACAGCCAAUACAAAAUUUUUUUUAAAGUAAUGACAGGUUAGAAACUUUAACCUUUUGGAAUAUGUAACAGAUCAGAAAUGCUGAGAGACCAGGAAUACAUUAAUAAACAUAUAGAACUUCUGGAACAAAAUCAUUUAGAAAAGUCACACAGUGCAAUUCCAUUAUCUACUAAAGUGGCCAGCAAAGGGAACACUGGCCAGCCUGUGGCAUUCUUGAAACUCAGAGCCACCAGCCUCACAGUUCUGUGAACAUGAUGGAACGACCACGUCUGUACCUUCCUCAGGCAUCAAGUUGUGGCAGCUUCAUUCGUUUAUGUUACUUUCCUUCAACAGACGUAAAACUUAAACACUGAUCCAUUUUCAGUUACCGUAGAUUGGUUUAGAUGACUUGUACUUUCAAAGUUUUUCUAAAAAAAAAAAAUUCAUUUAUUAUAAUUUGUUAUACUUGACAGAAGAAUGCAUGUCAAUUCAUAGUACACAUAUAGAGCACAAUUUUUCAUGUCUCUGGUUUUACACAAAGUAGAGUCACACCAUUCGUGUCUUCACACAUGCACUUAGGAUAAUGAUGUCUAACUCAUUGCACCAUCUUUCCUACUCCCAUGCCCCCUCCCUUCACCUUCCUCCCCUUUGCCCUAUUUAAAAUUUCUGCAUUCCUCCCAUGCUCCCUCCCCACCCCCUGCCAUUGUGGAUCAGCAUUCACAUAUCAUAGAAAACAUUCGGCCUUUGGUUUUUGGGGAUUGAGUUACUUCACUUAGCAUGAUAUUAUUCUCCAACUCCAUCAAUUUACCCGAAAAUGCCAUGAUUUUAUUCCUUUUUAAAGCUGAGUAAUAUUCCAUUGUGUAUACAUACCACAGUUUCUUUAUCCAUUCAUCUGUUGAAGGGCAUCUAGGUUGGUUCCACAAUUUAGCUAUUGUGAAUUGUGCUGCUAUAAACACUGAUGUGGCUGCAUUGCUGUAGUAUGCUAUUUUUAAGUCCUUUGGGUAUAAAUCAGGGAGUGAGAUAGCUGGGUCAAAUGGUGGUUCCAUUCCGAGUUUUCCAAAGAAUCUCCAAAAUGUUUUCCAGAUUGGUUGCACCAAUUUUCAAUCCCACCAGCAACAUAUGAGUGUGCCUUUUCCCCCACAUCCUUGCCAACAUUGUUGUUUGUACUCUUAAUAGCUUCCAUUCUGACUGGAGUGAGAUGACAUCUUAGAGUAGUUUUGAUUUGCAUUUCUCUAAUUGCUAGAGAUGUUGAACAUUUUUUCAUAUAUUUGUUGAUUGAGUAUAUAACAUCUUCUGAGAAGUGUCUGUUCAGCUCCUUAACCCAUUUAUUGAUUGGGUUAUUUGUUUGUUUGUCUGUUUUGGUGUUAAGGUUUUUGAGUUCUUUUAUAUACCCUAGAGAUUAGUGCUCUAUCUGAUGUGUGCGUGGUAAAAAUUUGUUCCCAAGCUGUAGGCUGUCUAUUCACCUCACUGAUUCUUUCUUUUGCUGAGAAGAAGCUUUUCAGUUUGAAUAGAAAUGGACAGACUGAUUAUAAAAUUCAUAUAGAAAUGUGAAAGACUUAUAAAAAUGAAAGAAAAACUUAUGUGAAAAAGAAAAACAAAGCUGAUGAGCUUACAUUAUCUGAUUUCUAGAUUUAUCACAAGGCUACAGUAAUCAAGACAAUGUGGUAUUGGUAUAAAGUUCAACAAAAAGCAAAAUAGAGAGACCAAAAAUACACUUACAUAUAUCUGGUCUAACGAUUUUUCAACAAGGGUAUUGGCAAUCAUGUAGAGGAAUUGGAACUCUCAAGCAUUUCUGGAAGAAAUGGAAAAUGGCAAUCAUGUUGGAAAACAGUUUGGAAGUUUCUUAUACAGUCAAAUACAUUCCUUCCACAUUCUCCAGCUACUUUCUUCCUGGGUGUUUACUCAAGACAAAUGAAAACAAAGUCCACAAAAGACUUGUACACAACACAGAACAGUUUUAUUUAUAAUAGCCAAAACCCAGCAAUAAUCCAAAUGUUCAUCUGGAGAUGAAUGGAUAAACAUACUGUGGCAUAUCCAUAUAAUGAAACACUUCUCAGAAAGAGAAAGGAAUAAACUAUUGAUAAAAAGCUUCAACUUGGAUGAAUCUUCAAGUCAUUAUGCUAAUGAAAGAAGCUAGUUGGAAAGAGCUAGAAUUUGCAAAGGGGAGAAAGGGGAUAGGAGGGGACAUAGGGGCAGGAAAGAUGGUGGAAUGAGAUAGACACUAUUGCCCUAGGUACAUGUAUGACUGCACAUAUGGUACAACACUAUAUCAUGUACAGAGAAAUGAAAAGUUGUGCUUAAAUUGUGUUCAAUGAAUCAAAAUGCAUUCUGCUCUCAUAAAUACAUAAUUAGAAUGAAUAAUAAAUAAAUAAAAUGGUUGGGGACUUUUGUACUUCAAUAAAAUAGAAAAUAUCAAAGACAUCAACAAAUUUCUAGAAUCAUGUGAUUUAUCCAAACUGAAUCAGGAUGAUAUAUACAAGUUAAACAGAUCAAUUUCAAGCAAUGAAAUAGAAGACACCAUCAGAAACCUACCAACAAAGAAAAGCCCAGUACCAGAUGGAUACACAGCCUAGUUCUUCAAGACUUUCAAAGAAGAAAUAAUAUCGAUACUCCUCAAAUUAUUCCAUGAAAUAGAAAAAGAGGGAGCACUUCCAAACUCAUUCUGUUAAGCCAAUAUCACCCUGAUUCCAAAACCAGACAAAGACACAUCAAAGAAAGAAAACUUCAGAUGAAUAUUUCUAAUGAACAUCAAUGUAAAAAUUCUCAAUGAAAUUCUGGCAAAUUGAAUACAAAAACAUAUUAAAAAGAUAGUACACCACAAACAACUGGGGUUCAUCCCAGGGAUGCAAGUUUGGUUCAACAUAUAGAAAUAAAUAAAUGUAACUCAUCACAUCAAUAGAUUUAAAGAUAAUCACAUGGUCAUCUCAAUAGAUGCAGAAAAAACAUUUGACAAAAUAUAGUACUCCUUCAUGUUCAAAACACUAGGAAAAUCUAGAGAUAAUAGCAACAUAUCUCAACAUUGUAAAAGCUAACUAUGCUAAGUCCCAGGCCAACAUCAUUAUAGAUGAAGAAAAAUUGGAAGCAUUCCCUCUAAAAACUGGAACAAGACAGAGAUACCCUCUUUCACCACUUCUAUUUAAUAUAGUUUUUGAAACUCUAGCCAGAGCAAUUAGACACACGAAAGAAAUUAAAGGGAUAUGAAUAGGAAAACAAGAACUCAAACAAUCACUAUUUGCCAAUGAUAUGAUUCUAUACUUAAAGGAUCCAAAAUAUUCCACCAGAAAAUGUAUGAAUUCAGCAAAGUAGCAGGAUAUAAAAUCAAUACCCAUAAAUCAAAAGCAUUUUUGUAUAUUAGUAACAAAUUCUCUGAAAGAGAAACUAGAAAAACUACCCCAUUUACAAUAGCUUCAAAAUAUUAGUAUUAAUAUAGUCACUUCAGCUUUCUUCAGAUUACCAUUUACACCCUUAAGCUUUUCAUUGAUCUUUUAACUUAAAGUGAGUUUCUUAUAGGCAGUAUUUAGCUGGUCUUAUUUUUUAUUUUCUUAAAUCAAAUCUGGAAAUAUCUAGCAUUUAGUUGAGCUGUUUAGAGCAUUACACUGACAUCAUUCAAUUUAAAGAUACUAUAUUGAUACUUGUUUUCUAUGUUCACCUGUCUUUUGUUCUGUUUUCCCAAUCUUUCGAUCUUCUUUUUGGAUUAAUUCAGUAUUUAAAAAAUUUGUAUUUUAUCUCCAAGUCUGGCUUAUUAGCUAUAAUUCUUUAUUGUGUUGUUUUAGGGUGUAUAAUACACACAUUAUUAUUUUCCACUAUUAUUAUAUUAUCUACAGGUAAGAGCUAGAGUUUGUGGCAAGGGGGUCAAACUUAUUGUAGAUACAUUUUAAAUUAAAUAAUGGAAGAUUUUAUUUUUGAAAAAUAAGCUUGGGUAAGUAAAAGCACUCCAGAGCUAUUUGAUGUUAAGAAAGCUAUGUGUAUGCAUGUAUGAAUGCUUAUGUUUGUAAGAACUGAAGUUUGGGUAAUCUGGCUUCUGUACUUUUAAAAACAAGAAAGGUUUAUACAGAUUAAAUAUACAUACAUAUAUUUAAAAUAUAUAGUUAUAUAACAUAAACUUACAUAUAUUUAUAUAGCAUAUAUAAAAUAGAGCCUUUCCCUCUGCCAUUCAUUCAUUCAACAAAUACUUGGGGUACCAAUAUGGACUAGGUGUGGAAUGUUUUUAGUAUUCAUCAUCUUAGUACUUUCCUGGCACUUUGGAAGUUACACAAUAAACCAAAACAAUUUUCUGGGGAUCUUCUUGGAGGAAUUUUCCAUAAUUCCUAUGAUAAAGGAGUUGAUAUAUCUCUUUGAGUAGAGACCCUUUGCAAAAGCUCAGCACAAAAUUUGGUUCCUAUGCUAGGCUGAGUGCACCAAGUUAAGGGUGUGGUUAGAAUGACAUUGCCAAAGGAGAUAUUAAUUGUGUACCUUUAGUGCCAGUUUCUAGGCAGAUGCUGAGGUUUCAGAGGUGAAAAAAGCAGCUCUUCCUAGCUUUGAACAUUCUGUUCAAAAUGCCCCUGUCAUCUGUGUUUGGAGGUACAAAGGAGCUGGUCUUGCCUGCAUUCUGGCAGACCUAGGAGUUCAGACAAACAUCUGCCACUUGGAACAGGCAGAAACAUCCCAUGAGACUGUAGAGGAGCAUCUCCCACCAGGUAGUUGGAGUAACAGAGGCAUUUGGAUUCAGUAAGACCUUCCCUCCAGUCAGUAUGAUCCAAGGACAAAAUGGGUCUCUUUGCAGGGUGAGUUUCCUGUCACAAGGGCUGUCAGGCUCUGGCUUAAUGCCUACUUGGCAAGAAUGUUGCCGAGGAAUUCAUCACUGACUAGAAGGAGCGAGACUGGACAGAUCUACAAUUCCAUUCCAGCCAGAGAACAUUGCUUUUAUGAACUCCACUAACCUCAAUUCCCAGUGCUCUGGCAUUUCUGGUCUGCAGCUGGGAGGUGAACUGGUCUCAGUGGCCACCACCUGCACCACCUGAGGACCAUCAGCCAUCCCCAGAGUCACAACAGAGCUGGACCACCUAACAAUCACCCAGAGAGAAAAGACCAUGUGAGGCCACCAAAGCUGUCUGCAAACUAAGAAGAGUACUCACAAAAAACCACAUCCAAUGGCCUUGGACUUCCAGCCUCCAGAAUCAUCCAAUGACAACUCCUCUGGGAAGUCUUCUUCAGGUGACCCUACUGCAAGUCAAGGCUACUUCUCUCUCCCAGUGGCCUCAUAGUCGCUAGCUACUAGGUCUACUAUAAUUCCACUUAAUUUUGCUGUGGCUGAUGUGAUCAGACCAUUCUUUUUCCAACUGGAGAUGAGCUCUUGGAGAUGAGGACUGAAGUUUAUUCAUCUUGGUCUUCGGUAUCUAGCUAAGAGCCGGACUAAUAAUGGAUUCACAGAAAUUCUUGGUGGUUUCCUUGGUUGAACAGAUGAACAGACUCUUGCACUCAAGACAGAGCCAAGAGGUAAAGCUUCUGUGCUCUUCCAGAAAAAGUCUACUAGGUCCAAGUAAUCACAGUCCUGUUUCUGAGCUAGCUGGUCCCAUGCAAGGAGUUACCGUUUUUUGUUUUUUUUUUUUUUUUUUUUUUCACCAGCUUGUUGGCUGUCACCAAGCUGAGUGGUAAUUGUUGAUGUGGGCCUUUAAACACCACAAAGAUCAGUUGAAAAUGUGUUGCUAGGAGUGACUAACAAGAAAAUAAUGAGGCUAUGCCUAUUCUGAAAAUUGUCUAAGUGAUGGUGGGUUAUUUAUUUCUGUGUGGGUAUUUGCUUCUUUCUCUCGCUCAUCUCUUAAAAGAGAAAUCUUCAUGGCAGAAUCCUUCUUGCCCCCUCCAAAAAAGAAACUUUCCUUAUUGCUGGGAAAGAAGCUAAUUCAGGCUGUAAAAUAAAAUCCUGAGGGAGGAGAAUAACAGGGCUGAUAAACAAAGGGAAGUCAUGGAGGUAAGGGGUGUAGGAAUUUUCUUCAAGAGGAUAAGGACAAUCUCAUCAGAGCAAAUAUGAGUAAAGGAGAGAGGGAAGAGAAUGGGAAUUUUCUAUGUUUAGUAUGUAGUAAAUAUUUAAGCAUUCCAAUUUAAUUUUAUUCUCUGUAAUGAUUUACAUGACAGAUGAAUAAAGAAUGGAAUUCCUUUUAAAUUACAUGUUGGCUAUUGUCCUAUACUUCUUUUUUUAAAUUUUUAUUGUUGGUUGUUCAAAACAUUACAUAGUUCUUGAUAUAUCAUAUUUCACACUUUGAUUCAAGUGGGUUAUGAACUCCCAUUUUUACCCCGUACACAGAUUGCAGAAUCACAUCAGUUACACAUCCAUUGAUUUACAUAUUGCCAUAUUAGUGUCUGUUGUAUUCUGCUGCCUUUCCUAUCCUCUACUAUCCCCCUUCCCCUCCCCUGUCCUAUGCUUCUUAAAUAUGACACUGUCCCAAGGCCAAUACAUAAGAUCCAAGGCUUUGCAAAAGUUACAUCUACAAAUGGGUGAGAAGGGCCUGCAAAGAGAUGAGUUUGCCUUCUGUUCAGGACAUUGCUAGCUUUACAGCUGCUUUUGCCAGAAAAAAAUGGAUCUGGGGCAAGUAGAGACAGCAGAAGUCCAGAGAUGACCAGAUCUGGGGGCUGGGGA